UACAACCAUAUCACAAUGGAAAGCCAGUUCUCAUAUGAUCACUGAAGUUAAGCAACAUCAAGUUUGGUCAGUACCUAGAUGAGUGACUGCUUGGAAAUACCAAGUGCUGUAA